GACGAACGCUGGCGGCGUGCCUAAUACAUGCAAGUUGAGCGCUGAAGGUUGGUACUUGUACCAACUGGAUGAGCAGCGAACGGGUGAGUAACGCGUGGGGAAUCUGCCUUUGAGCGGGGGACAACAUUUGGAAACGAAUGCUAAUACCGCAUAAAAACUUUAAACACAAGUUUUAGUUUGAAAGAUGCAAUUGCAUCACUCAAAGAUGAUCCCGCGUUGUAUUAGCUAGUUGGUGAGGUAAAGGCUCACCAAGGCGAUGAUACAUAGCCGACCUGAGAGGGUGAUCGGCCACAUUGGGACUGAGACACGGCCCAAACUCCUACGGGAGGCAGCAGUAGGGAAUCUUCGGCAAUGGACGAAAGUCUGACCGAGCAACGCCGCGUGAGUGAAGAAGGUUUUCGGAUCGUAAAACUCUGUUGGUAGAGAAGAACGUUGGUGAGAGUGGAAAGCUCAUCAAGUGACGGUAACUACCCAGAAAGGGACGGCUAACUACGUG
rnacentral:rRNA from 1 species